UACGGAGGGGGCGAGCGUUAUUCGGAAUUAUUGGGCGUAAAGGGCGCGUAGGCGGCCCUGCAAGUCAAAGGUGAAAUCCCUCGGCUCAACUGAGGAACUGCCUUUGAAACUGCGGGGCUUGAGGCCGGGAGGGGGUAGCGGAAUUCCCAGUGUAGCGGUGAAAUGCGUAGAGAUGUGGAGGAACACCGAUGGCGAAGGCAGCCCCCUGGGCUAACACUGACGCUCAGGCACGAAAGCGUGGGGAGCAAACAGG
rnacentral:rRNA from 1 species